AAGUGCAAAAGAUGUUAAAGCCUGAUCCUCAAGUGUUUCUGAGUUGGUAGGCUUUUUUUAUUGAUAACACUUCUGGCAAUGGAAGGACAUGGCACAAAGUGUCUAGAGUCACAGCGGACAUGGAUAGGUACAUAUGCAAUGAUUAUUACUAUUACAAACACCAUCUCCUUUAUGAGCCCUAUCGCAUCCCUCUUCACAAAUUUCACGAUCACAUGAGCCUCCUAAGUCAACUUUGCAGAAACCAUUGAGUUGUUGUGCCUCGACCACGACAUCAGCUGUUACAAAAGUAAAUAUAUGAUUAAGUUUGGCAACAGUUGCAUUUUUAUCUAGAUAUUAUAUGCAAUCAUACAGAAGUUGUUAUAUAGUUGAUAAUAGCGUGAGGUAAUACUAUCACGUGUUGUUAAUCUUAGGAUGAAUGAUAUUUUAUGCUGAAUUCAGUCAUCCCGUUAAGACACCCAAAUAUAUAUCGCACCUAUUUUAGAAACCAUGAAUUAGAAUAAGUUUUGUGGAGCUUGAUGUGGUAGGAAAAAGCUAGGAGAACAAGCAAUUUUAUUCUUAUUUUUGCACCUAGAUUUGAUGAAGCUAAAUUUUAAGAGAAAAAAGUAGGUUUGUUGAAGCCAAAGAACCUGUACAAAAAAAUUGUACUUUUUUUUUUCUUACCCAAUGCAUAUUGAUGAUGAGUUGGUUUAAUCUUUUACUAUGACUUGGUAUGGACUAUUGAGAAUUAAUUAAAAUUACCAACAUGAUUAACCAACCCAUGAAUACCUCAAAGAGUAUGGUUGUUUAGAUAUUUAUUUAGCAUGAACUAAAGACUUUUGUUUAGACCAUCAGAUCAAAUGCCCUCUUAAUAACAAUUCAAGAAAAGAAAAUCAUACUGAAAUAAGAACUUUAUUUUGACCAAGGUUUGUUGUACUGUACCAUAUCGGCAUUUCGACCCGGGCUCAGUACGUUACCGGUGUACUGGGCGAUACAUCAGGGUGUACCGAAUAAUUUUUUAUUUUUUUAUAUUGUAGCAGUGCUACAGUAUAGUACUAUAACACUGUAGCGGUACCGGGCGGUCCGCGUACCGGUAACCUGUCGGACCGGUAUGUACCGCCCGGUACGGGUGGUACGCUUCGGUACGGCAGACCUUGAUUUUGACCCCACUUUUCCCAUAAAAUAUGGUUCAAUCAAAAUCUAUAAUACCUGACUUGUCGGAAUUUUAUGACUUUUUAUUUGUCAAAGUUGACGUGCUAAUGAGAGCAAAUUGGAGAAGAAAAAACAUGCAUGUUCGAGCUUACCUGCAAAAAGGACGAGGAGAAGGAUAACACACGCGAUCUUCGCCCCCAUGAUAAAGAAGGUUAGAAGGUUCCUGUUCACCAAAUUAUACAUUUGAUGGUGACUACACUGUGAAGUUUAUAUAGAGGAGCUUCAUCACCCGUAUCAAUUGAAUUCACCCCCCUUGAUAAAUAAGAUUUGGUAGUGGAUGCCAUAUUUUCUAGCACAUUAAGGGGGUUUAUCAAUACUAUACAACUGAAACAUUUAUAAUUUUCAGGUAUCAAAUCAUGGAAACACCCAAGAAUUCCAUGGAUCAAUUAAACAAACUACAAUGUAUAUAUAUAUAUAUAUAUAUAUACCUAUGCAUGGUUCGUCAUACCGACCCAUACCAUCUGGUAUGGGCGAUAUGUACCGGUUCAAUAGGGGAUCGAUAUGCAUACUAUCUUGUAUUGGGCGGUACUAUAACAUGACCCCAUAUCAGGCGAUACGAGAUAUGUACCAGGUAGUAACAAUCGAAAUCCAAUCGUUACCAACCUAUACCGAUCGGUAGCAAUGAGAUUUCAACCAUUACAAAUCAAGGGCUGAGAUCGCUCUAUUUCAAAUGGUCAAAUUGAUCGUUUGAAUCAUAGUAAAGAGAUUUUAAACCCUUUUCUCCCAUCUCUUUUAACUCAUAUCACUCUCUCAAUCUCUUUAGCUCUCUAAAACUCAUUUUCACUCGCAUCUCUCUCUCAUUCUCAUAUUUUCACUCUCUUAAACUCAACAAGGCUACAAUUUAUGGAUUGAAUCAAAUUUAAAAGGAUUAAGAGGAAGAUUCUCGGUUAGAAUGUGGUGGAAGGUGCUGGACAAAAUCAAGUCAAAUUGCUCGAGGAACUAGAGACACCAAACUGUCAUAAUCAUCCGCCCAACAUGCAAAGGCAAAGGCAAAGUGGAAGGCAGUAGCAUCAAUUGCACCGUUAGAAAGAAUCGAGUCAAGCGACGAAACACCUUCUGAAUCGCAUUUAACAACCUGCUCAGUCUAGAGAAAUGACAACGACGUGAACAGUAGUGCCUUAACCGAUGAUGGCGACGACGUUGGGGAGUCGAUGGUCCUAUCUCCAUAAUUUGAGGGUGGUGCAUGGACCGAGAAGCAGUAUUUUACACAUGCUACCUAAGAUUCAUAUCAUGGAACUCGACGAGGUAUUGGUCAAGUUUAUAUACGGGAAAGGAAGGUAGUGGAUGAUUUUAAGCAGAUACAACAAAACCUAUACCAUGUAGACAUAAAACGAAGCUUAUCGUAUUCACAACCGUCGUAUCAUGGAGAAUGCUCAACAACAAUACGGUGAUAGUUGGUCAUACUUCUCCAAGUAGUAGUACAAUGAUCGAUCUUAUGAUACAGAACAACAGAUCAAUGGCAAAAGUAUAAGUUUUGGCUUUCUUCAUGCUCCACACUAAUACAUGUCAUAAUCGUACUUGUCUUAGGCGCCACCUUAAACACGUGUGAUUCAUGACGAUCAGACUACGACCAUCACUACAUUGAUGCACCAAUGACAUCGAUGUAUCAGUAUAUUAUGUCGUGGGAUCAAUUUCAGGAUUGGGUCCGAUAAACAUAUCAAAUUGAUAUACAGUUACAUAGGAUCGAGAACCUCGAUCCACUGCUCGUGGAGUCUCGCUGUUGUUUCUUUGCGGUAGAAUCAAAUAUAUAUUCAUCGAUCGAUUACUUGAUUCAUUUGAAUCUUAAAGUUUAAGUUAUUAAAAAAAAUAAAAAUUUAAAUUAUUUUUUUGUAAAUAAUUUAGUAUUAAUAAAUAAAAGGGUCUUCCGGAACAUAUCAUAAAGCUAUUUCUCAAAACCUAUAAAAGAUAGGCCACUACUCUUUUCUAAUUUAGAUUAUUUUUACAAAAAUUAUACUAAAAUUAUAUUUAUUUCUAAUGAUGAAAACCCUAAUCUAAUUUUUUUUAAUAUUUUUCAGGUAUUUUUUGAGAUAGUUUUGAUGGUUUUUGGGUGUACUAUUGUUAUGCCCUUACGUACCAUCGAUACACUUUAGUACAUAUCUUAUUGAUGUUUGGUCGGUACACUGGUACAGACUGAGAUUGUAAACCUUAUAUAUAUAUAUAUAUGUAUACAUAUAUAUAUAUGUAUACAUAUGUAUACAUGUAUAUGUAUGUAUAUGUAUAUGUAUAUAUAUAUGUAUAUGUAUUUAUAUAUAUGUAUACUUAUAUAUACACAUACAUAUACAUAUGUAUGUGUAUAUAUGACUUCAGUACAGUGAACCUAAUGGAUGCAUCUAGAAAGAUUCGUAUCAAUAGAUUUAUCUUUAUAUAUAUGCAUAUAUAUAUAUAUAUAUAUAUUUAUAUAUGUAUAUGUAUAUAUGACUUCGGUACAAUGAACCUAGUUGAUGCAUCUAGAAAGAUUCGUAUAUAUAUAUAUAUAUAUAUAUACACACACAUCAUGACUUCGGUACAGUGAACCAUAGUGGAUGCAUCUUGAAAGAUUCAUAUCAAUAGAUUCAUCUUUGUCGAAAUCCGACCGUUACCGAUUUGUACCAAUCAGUAAUAGUCGGAUUUUGACCGUUGCGGAUAAGGGUUGAUAUCGCCCUAUUUCAAACAGUCAAAUUGACCAUUUGAAUCAUAGAAAAGAGAUUUUAAACCCUUUCCUCCCUCCUCUUUCAACUCAUAUUACUCAAUCUCUUUAGCGCUCUAAAAGAUAUGUCACCACUCUUUCCUAAUUUAGAUUAUUUUUGCUAAAAUUAUAGUAAAUUUAUAUUAUUUUUAACUUAAAAAUCAUAAUUAAAUUAUAAUUAUAAUUAUUAUUAACUAUUUUUGGAGCUAUUUUUGAUGGUUUUGGGUGUACUGUCGGUUUGCCAUUGUGUAACAUCGAUACGUCUUGGUACGUACCGUAUGUCGAUACACUAGUACAGUCCAAGAUUGCAUAUGUUGUAUAUAUGUAUAUAUAUAUGUAUAUACAUAUAUGUAUGUAUAUACAUAUCCAUAUAUGUAUGUAUAUAUAUGCAUAUAUAUAUACGACUUCGGUACAGUGAACCUAGUGGAUGCAUGUGAAAAGAUUUGUAUCAAUAAAUUCAUCUUUGUCGAAAUCUGAUCGUUACCAACUUGUGUUGAUAAGUAAUAGACAAGUUUCAAAUGUUACAAAUAAGGGCUGAGAUCGUCCUAUUUCAAACGGUCAAUUUAUAGGAAAGGGAUUUUAAACCCUUUUCUCCCCCCUCUUUUAACUCAUAUCACUCUCUCAAUCUCUUCAGCUCUCUAAAACUCAUUUUUACUCGCAUCUCUCUCUCAAUCUCACAUUUUCAUUCUCCUACACUCAACAAGGCUACGAUUUAUGGAUUGGAUUAAAUUUGGGAUGAUUAAGAAGAAGAUCCCUCUCGGUUAGAAUGUGGUGAAAAGAGCCGGACAAUAUCAAGUCAAAUUGCUCUAGAAAUUAGAGACACCCAACUGUCACAAUCGUUCCCCCGACAUGCAACAACAAAGGUAAAGGGGAAGACAGUAGCAUUAAUCGCACCGUUGGAAAGAAUCGAGUCGAGUGACGAAACACCUUCUCAAUUAUAUUUAACAACCAGCUCAGACCAGAGAUAUGGCAGCGACGUGGGCAGUAGUGUCUUAACCAAUGAUGGCGACGACCUCGAGGAGUCGAUAGUCUAAUCUAUAUAAUUUGAGGGUGGUGCAUGGACCGCAAAAUUGUAUUUUACAUGCCGUCUAAGAUUUAAAUCAUCGAAUUUGACAAGAUAUUGAUUAAGUUUAUACAUGGAAGGGGGAGAGAAAGGCAGUGGAUGAUUUUGAGUAGAUGCGACAGAACUUACACUAUGUAGACACAAAGCGAAAAUUAUCAUAUUCAUAAUCGUCGUAUCAUGGAGAAUCUUUUGACCAGCAACAGUAUGGUGAUGGUCAUGCUUCACCGAGUAAUUGUACGUUGUUCGAUCUUAUGAUACAAAACAACAAAUCAAUAGCAAAAGUAGAAGUUUUGACAUUCUUCAUGCUCCGCACUAAUACAUGUCAUAAUCGUACUUGCCUCUAGAGCCACCUCACACACGUGUGAUUCAUGACGAUCAGACUACGACCAUCACUAUAUUGAUGCACCAAUGGCAUAUGGUGUAUUAUUAUAUUAUGUCGUGAGAUCAAUUUUAGGAUUGGGUCUAACAAAUAUAUCAAAUUGAUAUACAGAUACAUAGGAUCGAGGACCUUGGUCCAUUUCCUAUGGAGUCUCAUUUUUACUUGCAUCUCUCUCUCAUUCUCACAUUUUCAUUCUCCUACACUCAACAAGGCUACGAUUUAUGGGUUGGAUUAAAUUUGGGAUGAUUAAGAAGAAGAUCCCUCUCGGUUAGAAUGUGGCGAAAAGCGUCGGACAACAUCGAGUCAAAUUGCUUUAGAAAUUAGAGACACCCAACUGUCACAAUCGUUCCCCCGACAUGCAAUGACAAAGGUAAAGGGGAAAGCAGUAGCAUCAAUCGCACCGUUGGAAAGAAUCGAGUCGAGUGACGAAACACCUUCUCAAUUAUAUUUAACAACCAGCUCAGACCAGAGAUAUGGCAACGACGUGGGCAAUAGUGUCUUAACCAAUGAUGGCGACGACCUCGGGGAGUCGAUAGUCUAAUCUAUAUAAUUUGAGGGUGGUGCAUGGAUCGCAAAACCGUAUUUUACAUGUCGUCUAAGAUUUAAAUCAUCGAAUUUGACAAGAUAUUGAUUAAGUUUAUACAUGGAAGGGGGAGAGAAAGACAGUGGAUGAUUUUGAGCAGAUGCGACAGAACUUACACUAUGCAGACACAAAGCGAAAAUUAUCAUAUUCAUAAUCGUCGUAUCAUGGAGAAUCGUUUGACCAGCAACAGUAUGGUGAUGGUCAUGCUUCACCGAGCAAUUGUACGUUGUUCGAUCUUAUGAUACAAAACAACAAAUCAAUAGCAAAAGUAGAAGUUUUGACAUUCUUCAUGCUCCGCACUAAUACAUGUCAUAAUCGUACUUGCCUCUGGAGCCACCUCACACACGUGUGAUUCAUGACGAUCAAACUACGACCAUCACUAUAUUGAUGCACCAAUGACAUACGGUGUAUUAGUAUAUUAUGUCGUGAGAUCAAUUUUAGGAUUGGGUCUAACAAAUAUAUCAAAUUGAUAUACAGAUACAUAGGAUCGAGGACCUUGGUCCAUUUCCUAUGGAGUCUCAUUUUUACUCGCAUCUCUCUCUCAUUCUCACAUUUUCAUUCUCCUACACUCAACAAGGCUACGAUUUAUGGAUUGGAUUAAAUUUGGGAUGAUUAAGAAGAAGAUCCCUCUCGAUUAGAAUGUGGCGAAAAGAGUCGGACAACAUCGAGUCAAAUUACUCUAGAAAUUAGAGACACCCAACUGUCACAAUCGUUCCCCCGACAUACAACGACAAAGGUAAAGGGGAAGGCAGUGGCAUCAAUCGCACCGUUGGAAAGAAUCGAGUCGAGUGACGAAACACCUUCUCAAUUAUAUUUAACAACCAGCUCAGUCCAGAGAUAUAGCAGCGACGUGGGCAGUAGUGUCUUAACCAAUGAUGGCGACGACCUCGGGGAGUCGAUAGUCUAAUCUACAUAAUUUGAGGGUGGUGCAUGGACCGCAAAACAGUAUUUUACGUGCCGUCUAAGAUUUAAAUCAUCGAAUUCGACAAGAUAUUGAUUAAGUUUAUACAUGGAAGGGGGAGAGGAAGGCAGUGGAUGAUUUUGAGCAGAUGCGACAGAACUUACACUAUGCAGACACAAAGCGAAACUUAUUAUAUUAAUAGUCGUCGUAUCAUGGAGAAUAUUUUGACCAACAACAGUAUGGUGAUGGUCAUGCUUCACCGAGCAAUUGUACGUUGUUCGAUCUUAUGAUACAAAACAACAAAUCAAUAGCAAAAGUAGAAGUUUUGACAUUCUUCAUACUCCGCACUAAUACAUGUCAUAAUCGUACUUGCCUCAGGAGCCACCUCAGACAUGUGUGAUUCAUGACGAUCAGACUACGACCAUCACUAUAUUGAUGCACCAAUGGCAUACGGUGUAUUAGUAUAUUAUGUCGUGAGAUCAAUUUUAGGAUUGGGUCUAACAAAUAUAUCAAAUUGAUAUACAAAUACAUAGGAUCGAAUACCUUGGUCCAUUUCCUGUGGAGUCUCAUUUUCUUCUCUUGUGGUAGAACUNNNNNNNNNNNNNNNNNNNNCUUUUUACAAAUUGGAUCAAGGUUUUUCUUUCUCUCAUCUACCUGUUUGCUUCUUGUUUUGCCCAUUGACUAUUAGAGGCAUAAGACAUGCAUUCGUUUCAAGUUUUUAGUUGUCUAGAAUUCUAAAUUCAUAUUGAUGUGGCAGGUGUUCAUGAGUUGAAUAGCAUCAAUUCAUAUUGUAAAUUUAUGUUUUUUAUUGAUAAUACUUCUCACAUUGAAGUAUAAAAGAUGAGAGAUCCCCAGGAAUCUCUGAGUUGAUAGGCUUUUUAUUUAUUGAUAACACUUCUGGCAUUGGAAGGACAUGAAACAAAGUGUCUAGAGUCACAACGGACAUUGAAAGGAACAUAUGCAUCGAUUAUUAUCACAAACACCGUCUCCAGUAUAAGUUCUAGUGCAUCCCUCCGCACAAUUUGAAUCGGUACAUGGGCUGUCUAAGACAACUUUGCAGAUACGAUCAGGUUGUUGUGCCUCAACCACAACAUCAGCUGUUGCAAAGGUAAAUGCAUAAGUAAGGCGACCGUUACGUUUUUAUCUAGAUAUUAUAUGCAAUCAAACAGAAGUUUUUAUAUUGUUGAUAAUAGCAUGAGGUAAUACUGUCACAUGAGUUGUUUAAGUUAGGUGACAAUUACAUUUUUAUCUAGAUAUUAUAUGUAAUCAAACAUGAGUUUUUAUAUUGUUGAUAAUAGCAUGAGGUAAUACUAUCACAUGUGUUGUUAAUCUUAUGCUGAAUUCUGUCCUCUCGUUAAGACACCCAAAUAUAUAUCGCACCUAUUUUAGAAACCAUGAAUUAGAAUCACUUUUUGUGGAGUUUGAUGUGGUAGGAGAAAGCUAGGAGAAAAUGCAAUUUUAUUUUUAUUUUUGCACCUUGAUAUGAUGAAGCCAAAUCUCAAGAGAAAAAAAAAAAGGUAGGUUGGUUGAAGCCAAAGAACCUGUACACAAAAAUUGUACCUUUUUUUUUCUUACCCAAUGCAUAUUGAUGAUGAGUUGGUUUAAUCUUUUACUAUGACUUGGUAUUGACUAUUGAGAAUUAAUUAAAAUUACCAACAUGAUUAACCAACCCAUGAAUACCUCAAAGAGUAUGGUUGUUUAGAUAUUUAUUUAGCAUGAACUAAAGACUUUUGUUUAGACCAUCAUAUCAAAUGCCCUCUUAAUAACAAUUCAAGAAAAGAAAAUCAUAUUGAAAUAAGAACUCUAUUUUGACCCCACUUUUCUCAUAAAAUAUGGUUCAAUCAAAAUCUAUAAUACCUGACUUGUCGGAAUUUUAUGAUUUUUUAUUUGUCAAAGUUGGCUUGCAAAUGAGAGCAAAUUAGAGAAGAAAAGACAUGCAUGUUCGAGCUUACUUGUAAAAAGGACGAGAAGAAGGAUAACACACGCGAUCUUCGCCCCCAUGAUAAAGAAGGUUAGAAGGUUCCUGUUCACCAAAUUAUACAUUUGAUGGUGACUACAAUGUGAAGUUUAUAUAGAGGAGCUUCAUCACCCGUAUCAAUUGAAUUCAUCCCCCUUGAUAAAUAAGAUUUGGUAGUGGAUGCCAUAUUUUCUAGCACAUUAAGGGGGUUUAUCAACACUAUACAAUUGAAACAUUUAUAAUUUUCAGGUAUCAAAUCAUGGAAACACCCAAGAAUUCCAUGGAUCAAUUAAACAAACUACAAUGUAUAUAUAUAUGUGCAUAUACCUAUGCAUGGUUCGUCAUACCGACCCAUACCAUCUGGUAUGGGCGAUAUGUACUGGAUCAAUAGGGGAUCGAUAUGCAUACUAUCUUGUAUUGUGCGGUACUAUAACAUGACCCCAUAUCGGGCGAUACGAGAUAUGUACCAGGUAGUAACGAUCGAAAUCCAAUCGUUACCAACCUAUACCGAUCGGUAGCAAUAAGAUUUCAACCAUUACAAAUCAAGGGCUGAUAUCGUUCUAUUUCAAAUGGUCAAAUUAAUCGUUUGAAUCAUAGUAAAGAGAUUUUAAACCCUUUUCUCCCCUCUUUUUUAACUCAUAUCACUCUCUCAAUCUCUUUAGCUCUCUAAAACUCAUUUUCACUUGCAUCUCUCUCUCAUUCCUAUAUUUUCACUCUCUUAAACUCAACAAGGCUACAAUUUAUGGAUUGAAUCAAAUUUAAAACGAUUAAGAGGAAGAUUCUCGGUUAGAAUGUGGUGGAAGGAGCCGGACAAAAUCAAGUCAAAUUGCUCGAGGAACUAUAGACACCAAACUAUCAUAAUCAUCUGCCCAACAUGCAAAGGCAAAGGCAAAGUGGAAGGCAGUAGCAUCAAUUGCACCGUUAUAAUCGAGUCGAGCGACGAAACACCUUCUAAAUCGCAUUUAACAACCUGCUCAGUCUAAAGAAAUGACAACGACGUGAACAGUAGUGCCUUAACCGAUGAUGGCGACGACGUUGGGGAGUCGAUGGUCCUAUCUCCAUAAUUUGAGGGUGGUGCAUGGACCGAGAAGCAGUAUUUUACAUAUGCUACCUAAGAUUCAUAUCAUGGAACUCGACGAGAUAUUGGUCAAGUUUAUAUAUGGGAAGGGAAGGUAGUGGAUGAUUUUAAGCAGAUGCAACAAAACCUACACCACGUAAAUACAAAACGAAGCUCAUUGUAUUCACAACCGUCGUAUAAUGGAGA
rnacentral:lncRNA from 1 species